rnacentral:rRNA from 1 species
UACGUAGGGUGCAAGCGUUAAUCGGAAUUACUGGGCGUAAAGCGUGCGCAGGCGGUUCUAUAAGACAGAUGUGAAAUCCCCGGGCUCAACCUGGGAACUGCAUUUGUGACUGUAGAGCUGGAGUACGGUAGAGGGGGAUGGAAUUCCGCGUGUAGCAGUGAAAUGCGUAGAUAUGCGGAGGAAUACCGAUGGCGAAGGCAGCCCCCUGGGAUGAUACUGACGCUCAUGCACGAAAGCGUGGGGAGCAAACAGG